UAGAGGAAUUUAGAAAUUUUACAUUAAGAAGAGGAAGGAGAGAUUCCUUCUGUUGUUUUCAUGUCAAAAGAUAGAAGACAUGAUCUGAAGAUAUUGAUGGAGGAUUUGGCUUUACCUGUUACUAAUUGGUAAAACUUUCUGUUUAUUUUUAAAAACUGCCUUUUCAUAAUGUCCAAUAAAUGUAACACCAAUUUGUUAGCAGAAAAGGAAGAUAAACCUAAUAUGCCGUAACAUCAAGAUGCAGAGACAGCACAAGGAUAGUAACUUAUAAUGAAUCCAGAGGUGUGCUUUCCAGCCUUGCACUGCAGUCCACUCCCAGGCCACCAAACAGACCCUUUAUUUUUGACUGGAAAAAUAAAACCAGCUAACUAUGCUGCUAGCCACAUCACUACCUUCCAGGGACUACAGAGUUGAUAUGACUUGGCCUCAUUAACCCAAUGCACGAUUAGGUUUAGGACAGAGCUUUGUCUUUGGCUUAUACUGUAGCCUGAUAAAUGUCUUAGAAAAAAGUAUUUAAUCAGUCUCAUCAGUUCAGUAAAGGUGCUGACGUUGCUGUUCCAGAUUGCUUUAUUUCAAAGUUUUGCACAGAGCUGUAGCUUCUAAAUCCUUCUGGAGAAAAAGACUUACAUAUUUAGAAAGUCUGAAUAAGAGCAAGAUUAUACAUAGGCCUGCAUGCUGUAAGCAUGUGUGUAUGCACUGGAUUUAUGAAUUAUCAUUCUUUCAUUUUCUAUGCAUCAGAAAAUUCUUCCGACUGUGUAAAAUCUAAAAUGCUGCUAAGAGUAAAAACAUUUGGGCUAUCUGAAUUUUUAUGUGGUGAAAGCAAAGCUCAAAAAGGACAUUGUUUGUUUCUGAAACUGUCAGGGUUCAGGAGUUCAAUGUAUCCCAAGGGCAAGAAGACAAUCUGGCAGACCUCUUAGUCUUUGACUUGAGUAUAUUCAAAGUUAGAAACAACAAGGCACAACUUGGGGAGCCAUAUUGCAAUGAUAGUUUCACAUUUUGAGCAUCCAAGGGUUUUAGCACAACACCUUGGAUACUCAAGGACGGUAUGUUACCCUUUGUUACUAUGUCAUUAGUCCCAGUAAAAUCAAGGCCACCAGGUUAGGACUAGUGUGUUGCAAACGCGUGCUCCAAAGUACGGCCUUCUGACUUCCUGAAUAGUUUAGCCCUGACUCACAAACAAAGCUGUUCUUCACAAGAGGAAAACAAAUACACUCUGAGGGCUUUUCAGUCACUGGUAUACAGAGAAUACCUCUUUAUGCUCAUCACAAGUGAGAAGUUACCUGCUCAAACAAGUAGUCCUCCAGCUUAACUAAAUUUGUCCAACCAGGACCUACAUAUAUACUCAUUAUAACAAACUGUGGUUUAAAUCAGGACAUACAAAAAUGUAUGCUUUAUUUUUUUUCCUCCAGGAAAUAACUGGAAACAAAGAAUAAUUGCGUCAAACUACUGGAUGCCUCCUUAUGGCCAUCAUUACACAUGUUCCUGUGGAAAAAAAAUUACAGAACUGUUAGUAUUCUUCCUUCAAAAUACAAUUAAUUUUAGCCUUAUUUUUAUUCUGGUCAAACUGUGAGUGAGGUCAUACUUCUUGGUGACUAUCUGAAAGCAGUCGUGCAAAAUGAUUGCUGUACUUCUAGUCUUUUAUGUCAAUGAAGUCCUAUGUAGGCAUGGGGUCCUACAAGCAUUUGGAUAAUAAACUGAUGGUAAAAAGUGUUUUGCAAUUCCCAUUCAGUUUUUGGUAAACAUCUAAUGUCUUCCAAUACUUUUUAUAUUAGUUUCUUGUAACAAAAAUAUGAGACCUGCAGGUAUUAACUUUACUUUGGAAACACUGAGCCCUAUUUUUCAGCUUAGAUCUUUCCUACACAGAGACUGAAUUACACAUAGAACCUGUGGGUAACCAAAAACUAUUAUCUUGUGACUCCAAACUUUUAAUAAUCUGCUUCUUAAAAUAUCUCCCUGUAUGCCAGUUUAGCUGGGACGGCAUGGAUUUCAUCUUCCCGUGCAACAAAACGACGAUAACGAGUGAGGAUGCUAUUACCCACCAAAUCAUUCUCUAACUAGUGCUGCUUCCAGUUUACGUGUCCCCUGUUGUGCUAAAAGCAAUGCUAGCACAGCACCACUGGUAAAUCAGAUGUGAAAUGCUGCCUGUGGAAGGGCUAGCUCUGCCCAUGGGGUCCAGUCAGGCUGGCAGGCAUAAUGACAGGGAUUUGAAAACUGUGCAGUAAAAGCACAGAAAUGAAAGGUUCUGGUGGAAGAAAGAAUCGACAAAACUGGACCACCACUGUCUGUCCAACUCCAUGUCUAAGCCAAGCUCAAGCAGGUUAUAGCUGUAUUUCUAGCAUCAAAAAUCCAAACAAAUGAUGCAAUGAGGAAAAGGGUACUUGAAAUUAAGUUAAAAUGUACAUUUCUCUUUCAAAAUGUCAAUAUAUAAUGGUUAUAUUUUGAAGAUAAGCAUCAAUAGCAUUAAGAGUACAAAAGAGCAAAAUUUCACCCAAAUUACCAAUUUUGCAUAGUAAUUUACUUUUGCUCAGUGCAUUAAAUGGAGUUAAUAAGUAGACAGACCAUCUGAUGUAACAAGACCAGGUUUUAUAUUUUCAAUAAAUGGCGACAAUAGAAUGUUCUUCAUCAUAAAACUGAUGUAUUAUGUAACUAUAAUAGUACUUAGAGUACUCAUCCUCAUAUUUACUUGUAGUUAAUACACUUGAAUAAUUUGUCAGUAUUAAAUAAUUCUGCUUCUUUAUUUACCUUAACUGUGGAGACAACUGAGAGUAAAUAUCAUUGUGUAAUAAGUAUAAAUAUUUUGUUAGCUAUUUUAUUGCUACUUAUAACAGCUCCUUUACUAAGUGCACUUUUUAAACUAAAGGAUUAUAAAGCUCUUUAGUGUUUAAAUAAUCUCUUAGAAGAAUAAUCUGGAAAAUGAAAUCUGACACUGAGAGAAAAGUCUAAGAAUGCAAUUACUCUGCAGUCAUCGAAGCAAUUAUGCUGAAAACUAGGAAAACCUGAGUUCACUGUACAGUAGUUAGUGCAGGUGCAACAACUAGUGAAGAAAAAGCUGAUUCAGCUUGCCAAAAAUUUGGUCUAAAAUGAAUUGCUAUAAUCUAUGAAUAAAUAUAAACUGUGAAUUAGAAUUGUUCUGAUCUGGAGGGAGAGAAGUUCUGGGACAAUUUCACAAUUGGAUUUCAAGGAGUUCAUUUAUGUUAUAAACAAGAUGGUGGGGAUCUGUUAAGAUCUGCCCUCCAUGAUAUUCAUUGAUGUUGAAUUAACAAAGUUCUAUUCAGUUACCAGGCUGGUUGGCUUUGGCAGUUCCCUUCCAUAUCCUCCAAUGGACAUAAAAGCAAGCCUUGUAUUGUUUCUCUGAAAAGAAGCACAAUGAGAUGUUAUGUUCGAUCCUGUUGGAUGAAAAACUGAAGCCAGAAUCUGUCUGAUGAAAAAUUGAAGACAAAUUUUCUAACCUAAAUGUUUAAAUCCAGAUUUUCAGAAAUAAUUAGUAUUUACAGCUUCUGUUAGCUAGAGUAUCAAGCCUAGGAUAAUUGUGAACUGUGGUUCUAGCCAAGUAAAACCACUUGCUGAGUAAUGAUUAACUGAGACAUCAACCAGCAGAGAGGACUGCUAGAAUUUUAUGUUUCUGUCCACAGUGAUUAAACUCUUACUCCACGUUAGUAUAGCACCUUAUUUAGAAGAGGAUAAUCAAAGAAGAAUUUCAAAAUACAGAUUUAUAACCCCCUGUACAUUAUCUCAUACCUUUCAUUAUUUUUUUUUUUUUAUCAUUACACUUUGUCUUAUACUCUCCCAUUUCUUGCUGUGUUCAGCUGAAUUUCAGGGCCAUUCUUGAGGAUAUAUCACGUAGUGCUUAAUAGUGUGAAUGUUCAUGUUGAAGGGAACAGUAGCAAGCACGAUGAUAAUAUUUAUGGCAUCCCUUAGCUUAGAAUGUUCCUUGUCUGUGAGCAAGUCUGUUUUGUAUUUAUCCUGAAAGUAUUACUCAUAGAAGCCAAACCAUACGAAGAUUAACAUUUUUUAUUUACAGGGUAUGGAAUAAACCACACUGGUACAGAAUACAAGUAUGGCCAGUUCUGCAGAAUUUGCUUUUUGAUGUAUUUUUUUGUGAAUUAGCUGUUUUGUAAACCUCUUUGUGCAUUUUACUAAACACUGAGAAAAACUGUUACUUCAUUUUAUAUUAUUUCUUUUUUUACAGUUUCUCUUGCUGCUUUUUUUUUUUUCUUAUCUCUGGCAUUUACCUAUCAGCAAAGUUGUUCCUGUUUGCCUUUCUUCCUGUGUUUAAGUGUGUUGUCAAUAAUUAAGAAUAUUAUUAGGAACUGCAUAUAUUUCAAUUAAUUUGUUAUUUGUGAGAUCAUGUCCUGCCCUGCAGAUUGUGUGCUCUUUGGGAGAGGAUUUAUUGGUACUGUGGUAUGAACAUGAAAGCCUCAUUUUGUUAUAGUUACUGAGUAACUGUUACCACCAUAGAUGAUGAUGAUGAUGAUGAUAACAACAACAACCCCAGAACCAAUAAUAAUAAUUUAAUAGGAAAUAAGUAGAAAGACAUAGGUUCAGAUUCUGAAUGGAUAUCAAUCAGCUGAUUUACACCAGCUAAGACUCUGACCUGCAGCAUUUUAACAGCUAAGAUUUGUCCAUGGACAUCAAUUUGCUAGGGCUCUAGAACCUUACAUAAGUACAUAAUGAUGGAGUGAACACAUGUUCAAAAUACUUCUGAUGCACUGUAAUAAUAAUGCUAUAAAGAUUAUUUUUAUCAUGAAAUAGAAAUAUAUUUUAUAUUGCAUUGUUUUGCGCAUUUAACAAAUAAACUUGUAAUGUAUUAAA